rnacentral:rRNA from 1 species
CACGUAGGAGACAAGCGUUAUCCGGAUUUACUGGGUGUAAAGCGCGUGCAGGCGGUUCAGUAAGUUGGAUGUGAAAGCUCCUGGCUUAACUGGGAGAGGUCGUUCAAGACUGCUGGACUAGAGGAUGGCAGAGGGGAGUGGAAUUCCGAGUGUAGCGGUAAAAUGCAUAGAUAUUCGGAAGAACACCAGUGGCGAAGGCGGCUCUCUGGGCCAUUACUGACGCUCAGACGCGAAAGCUAGGGUAGCAAACGGG